AAAUUCCUGUAGACCUGGAGGCCCUCCCUGUCUGCUUACAAAAGUAGAGAUGACUGGCCAGGCGCGGUGGCUCACGCCUGUAAUCCCGGCACUUUGGGAGGCUGAGGCACGCGGAUCACGAGGUCAGGAGAUCAAGACCAUCCUGGCUAACAUGGUGAAAUCCCGUCUCUACUAAAAAUGCAAAAAAAAUUAGCCGGGCUUGGUGGCAACCGGCGCCUGUAGUCCCAGCUACUCGGGAGGCUGAGGCAGGAGAAUGGCGUGAACCCGGGAGGCGGAGCUUGCAGUGAGCCGAGAUCGCACCGCUGCACUCCAGCCUGGGGGACAGAGUGGGACUCCGUCUCAAAAAAAACAAAAAAAAAAAAAAAAAAAAAGAAAUUUUUCUAUAGAGAUGGGGUCUCGUUAUAUUGCCCAGGCUGUUCUCAAACUCCUGGUCUUGAGCAAUCCUCCUGCCUUGGUCUCCCAAAGUGUUGGAAUUACAGGCGUGAGACACUGUGCCCAGCCUCCAUACAAAGACUCGUACAUGAAUGUUCAUAGCAACUUUAUUUCUCAUAGCCAAAAGUGGCAAACAACCCAUACAUCAACUGGUGUAUAGAUAACAAACUAUGGUCCUUUUGCACAAUGGAAUACUACUCCGCAGUAAACGGAAUGAAUAACGCCGUGGAAGGAUCUCUAUACUGCAGCCAGAUAAGCUUCUUCUGCUCACUUGGGGGAACAUUAGCCCAUCCCUACCCCGGGCACCUCCUCCCAUCUCAGAUUUGGGCUCUGUUUUGAGUGAGGACUACACAGAGGUGGAAAAUCUGCUUACCACGUUGCUCAGUCAUUGAUUUGAUUUUAUAUAUAUAUAUACACACACACACACACACACACACACAUAUACAUAUAUAUAUAUUUUUUUGAGACAUAGUCUUGCUCUGUCACUCAGGCUGGAAUGCAGUGGCGUGAUCUCACUGCAACCUCUGCCUCCCAGGUUCAAGCGAUUCUCCUGCCUCAGCCUCCCGAGUACCUGGGACUACAGGCGCCCGCCACCACACCCGGCUAAUUUUUGUAUUUUUAGUAGAGAUGGGGUUUCACCAUGUUGGCCAGUCUGGUCUUGAACUCUUGACCUCGAGUGAUCUGCCCGCCUCAGCCUCCCGAAGUGCUGGGAUUACAGGCAUGAGACGCCACACCCGUCCAGUCAUCGAUUUUAAAGUUGUAAUGGCCAGUUUUAAGUCCAAAUCUAAAGGUGUCCAAUCCCAACAGCGGGCACAGAGGACCAGGUCUCCAAGGGGUGGAGAGAAGCGGGAUCAGAAGGUGUGUAUGAGCUCCUGUGGCUGCUGUCACAAACCACUAUAGGCCUGGUGGCAUCAAACAACAGAAAUUUAUUCUCUGACAGUUCUAGCAGCCAGAAGUCUGACAUCAAGGUGUCAGUAGGGC
rnacentral:lncRNA from 1 species